rnacentral:rRNA from 1 species
AGCGAACGUUUGCGGCGGGCUUAACACAUGCAAGUCGAACGGGCUGUUCCUUCGGGGGCAGUCUAGUGGCGCACGGGUGCGUAACACGUAGGUAAUCAACCCUCUGGUUGGGGAUAACACUUCGAAAGGAGUGCUAAUACCCGGUAUGGCGCAGCGGUCUUCGGAUCGCGGCGAGAAAGACCCGCAAGGGUUGCCAGAGGACGAGCCUGCGGCCCAUCAGCUAGUUGGUGAGGUAAGAGCUCACCAAGGCGAAGACGGGUAGCUGGUCUGAGAGGAUGAUCAGCCACACUGGAACUGAGACACGGUCCAGACUCCUACGGGAGGCAGCAGUGGGGAAUAUUGCGCAAUGGGCGAAAGCCUGACGCAGCCACG